CGAUUACAAGCCAAAAUCGCUUCAUGUGAUUUGAUUUUGGAUCGAGAAGUUACUGGAAGGUGUAAAUUUUCGGAGAUUGUUGAAGUUGUCCGUAGUCGCUGGCAAUGGAGGCGAUACUGGCACGAGCCCUCGAGUACACGCUCAAGUAUUGGCUCAAAUCCUUCUCCAGAGAUCAGUUAAAGCUUCAAGGACGUGUCGUACAACUAUCCAAUUUAGAUAUAAAUGGAGAUGCCUUGCAUGCCAGCAUGGGAUUGCCACCGGCCUUGAAUGUAACAAAGGCAAAAGUGGGCAAAUUUGAGAUAAUUCUCCCAUAUAUUAGUAAUGUACAAGUAGAACCAAUUGUUAUACAAAUUGAUAAGCUCGAUUUGGUUCUGGAGGAGAAUCGUGAUUUGGAUGCAUGUAGCAGCUCUAACAGCAUCCAGUCAUCUGCUGGCUCCAGUAAGGCUAGCGGCUAUGGAUUUGCUGACAAGAUUGCAGAUGGAAUGACAAUUCAGGUUAGCACAGUCAAUCUUCUACUUGAAACGCGUGGGGGUGUUCG
rnacentral:misc_RNA from 1 species